rnacentral:rRNA from 1 species
GACGAACGCUGGCGGCGUGCUUAACACAUGCAAGUCGAACGAAGUGGCGAACGGGUGAGUAAUACGUGGGUAACCUGCCCUCCUGUUUGGGAUAAGCCUUGGAAACGGGGACUAAUACAGAAUAAAGGGGGAUGGGCGCGCGGCCGAUCAGCGUGGUGGUGGUGUGAUGGCCUACCAAGGCGGUGACGGGUAGCCGGCCUGAGGGGGUGCCCGGCCACAUUGGGACUGAGAGCCGGCCCAGACUCCUACGGGAGGCAGCAGUGGGGGGUAUUGCACAAUGGGCGAAAGCCUGAUGCAGCGACUCCGCGUGGGGUAUGAAGGCUUUCGGGUUUUAAACCUCUUUCGCUAUCCAACGGGUAGGUGGAGAAGAAGCGCCGGCUAACUACGUGCCAGCCGCCGCGGUAAUAC